CAUCCAUACCGAUUCUGACACAUUCGGUCUUAGCCGCACUAAACCAAUAAUAAGAAUCCUAGUAGUGGAGAAUGUUUGCUAAUGCAUUCAUUCGACUUAUGGUCUUUGCAUUGGCUAUUACUAUGCUUACAAUGCUUGCUCAAGGGAGCCCUUUGGUUUUCAAAGCACAUGUUUUUCAAAACUGCAUGGAUACCAUAAAAAAACAUCCCCCAUACAAACCACCAAGUCGCAAAUGCAUCAACACAGUCACUAAAUCUAACUUGGUUAGCAUUUGUUCCGUCCUUGACGCCAGCGACGAGGAGAAAAUAAGUGUGGAGAGGCUUGUUAGUCUGGGGCGUCAGUUUGGACAACAUUUUACACCUGGGGCAAAAUGCGGCACUUACACUAUUCCAUAGCUUUCGGGACCACCAGUGCCAUGGUUGGCACAUCUAUGAGUGUUCUUGGAGAUAGAGAAAGCCAUGGAGUAGCUAGAAAUGGAGUAGAAUAAAUAUAUGGAAGGUUUUAAUUCAAAUGUCUUUAUGUAAUACUUUGAAGAAGAAAGUC